AUCAGACUGGAGCCAUGAGGGAGCACAGGGCAGGCGAUGAAGGAAGGGCGAUGAUGCCACAUCGUGAUUCCCACCAGAAACAUCCAGCCUCGGGGACGUGGAGGACACCACCAGCCCAUGGGGCUGAGGCAGUGGCCUCGAGAGGGGGAAUAAAAUGCUCAGCUGUCAGCUACCUGAAAGGGCAGUGCAAGACCGAGGCAAGGACCAGCUGCUCCUUUGGCUCCGUGUGCAGGUGCCCACACAGCCAGGGUGCUCUACACUUGAUGCAUCAUCUUUUGACAGACACAGGGCAAACUCUGCUCCUCCCUUCUGGCCUGGGUUGCAAUGAUGGAUUAAGGAGGGCAGAUAGCAGGAGUCCUGGUGCAAACAACACAUUCGAAGUGAACCCAUGGACGAGUUUGCUUGUGUGUAGAAGAGAUUGCUGAUGACAGGAAUUCUCCAUCCAGGACCUCUGAACUGAGCAAUGACAAGCUGUCCUGUUCUGCCCUGUGAAGGUGGGACAUCUGGUUCCUUCUUCAGGUCUCCUCCUCCCUGUGGCUCUGUCUCCUGCAUGUCACCCCCUCCCUCGCCCUGCUCUGGUGUCCAUGUGAUCCACUGAUGGCCUGCACCUCUGCAU